GACGAACGCUGGCGGCGUGCCUAAUACAUGCAAGUUGAGCGCUGAAGGGUGGUGCUUGUUCCAACUGGAUGAGCAGCGGACGGGUGAGUAACGCGUGGGGAAUCUGCCUUUGAGCGGGGGACAACAUUUGGAAACGAAUGCUAAUACCGCAUAAAAACUUUAAACACAAGUUUUAAGUUUGAAAGAUGCAAUUGCAUCACUCAAAGAUGAUCCCGCGUUGGCUUAGCUAGUUGGUGAGGUAAAGGCUCACCAAGGCGAUGAUACAUAGCCGACCUGAGAGGGUGGUUGGCCAAAAUGGGACUGGGACACGGCCCAAGCUCCUACGGGAGGGAGCAGGAGGGAAACUUCGGCCAUGGGCGAAAGGCUGACCGAGAAACGCCGCGGGAGUGAAGAAGGGUUUCGGGUCGGAAAACUCCGUUUGUAGGGAAGAACGUUGGUGAGAGUGGAAAGCUCAUCAAGUGACGGUAACUACCCAGAAAGCGACGGCUAACUACGUG
rnacentral:rRNA from 1 species